UUUGGGAAAUGAUGAGAACUUAUCUCAAGAUAUCUAAGGCGGUGCCUGUGCUGAAAUGUACCUUUGCACGUCAGUCAGAUCCUAUA